AUUGAACGCUGGCGGCAGGCCUAACACAUGCAAGUCGAACGAGUUGCGGACGGGUGAGUAAGGUCUGGGAAAAUGCCCGAUGGCGGGGGAUAACUAAUGGAAACGGUAGCUAAAACCGCAUAACAUAGGAUGUGCCCAGAUGGGAUUAGCUAGUCGGUGGGGUAACGGCUCACCUAGGCGACGAUCCCUAGCAGGUCUGAGAGGAUGACCAGCACCACUGGAACUGAGACACGGUCCAGACUCCUACGGGAGGCAGCAGUGGGGAAUAUUGCACAAUGGGCGCAAGCCUGAUGCAGCCAUGCCGCGUGUAUGAAGAAGGCCUUCGGGUUGUAAAGUACUUUCAGCGAGGAGGCGUUACUCGCAGAAGAAGCACCGGCUAACUCCGUGCCAGCCGCCGCGGUAAUUC
rnacentral:rRNA from 1 species